rnacentral:rRNA from 1 species
AAAAAUCCGUCGGAGCAUUAACCCUGAAACGUGAUGGGGAGGCCUUCGGGCCAUAAACGGACUGAUGCCAUGCUUCCAAGAAAAUCCUCUAGCCAGUUGCCAAGGCGACCGUACCGGAAACCGACACAGGUGGGCGAGGAGAAUAUCCACAGGCGCUCGGGAGAACUCACGCGAAGGAACUAGGCAAAAUGACCCCGUAACUUCGGGAAAAGGGGUGCCGCAGUAGGGUGUCAAAGCCCGAGGCGGUCGCAGUGAAAUGAGCCAAGCGACUGUUUACUAAAAACACAGGACUCUGCGAACUCGUAAGAGGACGUAUAGGGUCUGACGCCUGCCCGGUGCCGGAAGGUUAAGGCGAGGGGUUAGUGCCGCAAGGUGCGAAGCUCUGAACCGAAGCCCCGGUAAACGGCGGCCGUAACUAUAACGGUCCUAAGGUAGCGAAAUUCCUUGUCGGGUAAGUUCCGACCUGCACGAAUGGCGUAACGACUUGGCUGCUGUCUCCGCGUGGGACCCGGUGAAACUGUAGCGCCAGUGAAGAUGCUGGCUACCCGCGACUAGACGAAAAGACCCCGUGAACCUUUACUAUACCUUGGCAUGGAACUUUGACGGAGUCUGCGCAGGAUAGGUGGGAGGCUUUGAAGCCGGCACUCUGGUGUCGGUGGAGCCGACGUUGAGAUACCACCCUGACUGUGUUGGAGUUCUAACCUGGGCCCGUGAACCGGGUCGGGGACAGUGCCAGGCGGGUAGUUUGACUGGGGCGGUCGCCUCCCAAAAUGUAACGGAGGCGCUCGAAGGUGGGCUCAGCACGGUUGGAAAUCGUGCGACGAGUGUAAGGGCAGAAGCCCGCUUGACUGCGAGACAUACACGUCGAGCAGGUGCGAAAGCAGGACCUAGUGAUCCGGUGGUUCUCAGUGGAAGGGCCAUCGCUCAACGGAUAAAAGGUACUCCGGGGAUAACAGGCUGAUCUUGCCCAAGAGUUCAUAUCGACGGCAAGGUUUGGCACCUCGAUGUCGGCUCAUCGCAUCCUGGGGCUGGAGCAGGUCCCAAGGGUUGGGCUGUUCGCCCAUUAAAGCGGUACGUGAGCUGGGUUUAGAACGUCGUGAGACAGUUCGGUCUCUAUCUGUCGCGGGCGGAGGAGGUUUGACGGGAGCUGCCCCUAGUACGAGAGGACCGGGGUGGACGGACCUCUAGUGUGCGAGCUGUGCCGCCAGGCGCAACGCUCGGUAGCUAUGUCCGGCAGAGAUAAGCGCUGAAGGCAUCUAAGCGCGAAACUCGCCUGAAGAUGAGACCUCCCGGGGCGUAAGCCCCCUAAAGGGCCCUGGUAGAUCACCAGGUUGAUAGGCCGGAGGUGUAAGCACCGUAAGGUGUUCAGCUGACCGGUACUAAUCGCCCGUGCGGCUUGACCAC